rnacentral:ncRNA from 2 species
UUUGGGCAUAGGGAUGGUGCUCCCCUAUAACCGCCAGAAAUGGCUGAUGGCGCCUGUUAUAUA